UUGGGCGUAAAAGUGCACGUAGGCGGACCUGUAAGUCGGGGGUGAAAAUCCCCGGGGCUCAACCCCGGAACUGCCUUCGAGACUGCGGGUCUGGAGGUCGAGAGAGGUGGGUGGAAUUCCGAGUGUAGAGGUGAAAUUCGUAGAUAUUCGGAGGAACACCGGUGGCGAAGGCGGCCCACUGGCUCGAUACUGACGCUGAGGUGACGAAAGCGUGGGGAGCAAACAGGAUUAGAUACCCUAGUA
rnacentral:rRNA from 1 species